rnacentral:rRNA from 1 species
UGGGGAAUUUUGGACAAUGGGGGCAACCCUGAUCCAGCAAUGCCGCGUGAGUGAAGAAGGCCUUCGGGUUGUAAAGCUCUUUUGUCAGGGAAGAAACGGUAGUAGCGAAUAACUACUACUAAUGACGGUACCUGAAGAAUAAGCACCGGCUAACUACGUGCCAGCAGCCGCGGUAAUACGUAGGGUGCAAGCGUUAAUCGGAAUUACUGGGCGUAAAGCGUGCGUAGGCGGUUGUGUAAGUCAGAUGUGAAAUCCCCGGGCUCAACCUGGGAAUUGCAUUUGAGACUGCACGGCUAGAGUGUGUCAGAGGGGGGUAGAAUUCCACGUGUAGCAGUGAAAUGCGUAGAUAUGUGGAGGAAUACCGAUGGCGAAGGCAGCCCCCUGGGAUAACACUGACGCUCAUGCACGAAAGCGUGGGGAGCAAACAGGAUUAGAUACCCGAGUAGUCCCUGAGCGGGCUGGCAAGGCGCAU